CCGGGGCACGAACCUGCGUCCCCUGCAUCGGCAGGCGGACUCUUAACCACUGCGCCACCAGGGAAGCCCCACUGGCACAUUUUGAGGAGGGCUUCCUUCCACUUCUUCUCCCCUUUUCCUCUCAGGAGGUGAUUCAUAUUUCAAUAUAUUCCAGCUGAAAAAGGAUCCGAUUUUAAGCAGGUGGGAUAUGAAUACCUUCAUGAUAGUUUGGGGAGAACAUCCGAUGCGUGUAUGUGGUGGAUGCCCCCAGGAUGGAAUGUCUGGCACACAGGAGGGAUUCGACACACGUUCAUCUCCUUUGCUUCUC